CAUGUCGAACACACGACCUGGGGUACCAACAACAACAUGAACCCCACUUGAAAGAAUCCGUUGAUCCUCACGAACACUGGUUCCUCCAACACAAGCAUGAACUUUCACACCCAGGUAGUCACCAAGUGCUCGCAUGACCUUCUCAAUUUGCUGUGCUAGUUCUCGAGUUGGGGCAAGAACUAAAGCCUGGCAUUCAACCAACCCAUAAUCAAGCUGCUGCAAAAUUCCAGAACAGAAAGUUGCAGUUUUUCCUGUUCCUGAUUGCGCUUGCUGUAUUACAUCAAGUCCCUUGCAGAAGGGAACGAUUCCUCUCUGCUGAAUUGCAGAGGGCUUUUCAAAACCUACAGAUACACAACACUUAUCAGUCCUAAAACCAAGUGUGUUAUUAAAUCCAAAGUAUGAGAUGUUAAUUAUAUAUGUCUCUACCAUAAGCAUAAAUGCCCCUCAGAAGAUUUUCUUGGAGCCCCAUAGCAUCAAAACUAUCAUAAACCUCAUCGUAUGAUGUAAAGAAGUCCUGACCAUCUGUUGACAGCCUACACUCACGGACACACAACAAACCCAAAUGUGACUACAAUAAGAAAACAUUGUGAGAAGUAAUUAUGAUUCGAAUACACAAGUAGUCAUGGGAAAGGGCAAAAGAACCCUAUAGUAAAACAAAAUACAAGGAUUGUAAGAAAGAGGCAAUACAGCUCAGUCAUCUUGGCAUCAUAUUGACGAGCAUCAAAUUGAGAUCCUUCUGGUGCUGCUCCUGCCAUGUCUGCAAACAAGAGGUAAAAACUAAUAACCAUUUCGUUUUGACAAUGAAGCAAAGACAAUUUCAAGAGCAGAUUAAAAAAAAAAAAAACUAAUUAUGAUUCUCAUAAACAGCAAUCCCAAAUUUGCUUAAAGAAAAGCCUGGAGCAGAAGCAUUAGGUCUCCAUGAUGCCAGAUUAUUACUAUGGUGAUCAAACAGAAGCACAAUAUAUUGUUAGUAUUCAACAGUAUAAACAGAACAGGAUCAACAAGUACAAAGAAAGAAGUGUCAAGCAACGUUAUAAAGCAACUAAUGUCAACACAUACAAUUUGCCUGGAAAACAUUCGGUUGAGGAAAACAACUGGUAACAGGGCAUGGCCAACUAUAACCGAUCAGAUGAAUACCAGGGUAACUUGAUAGAAAAGGGACCGCAGGCACUGGGCUACAAAGCAGGGGGUAGCCCUCCCACAAAGACCACUAUCCCCAUAAAUCCUGGUGAGUGUAGGAUUCAGUCCCAGCAUUUGGUGCAACUGCCAAAGAAUUUACUCACUUGAUAAACUGACACCUUGUUCCAAAUUUGCUUGUGCUAACUUAAUCAAUCAUUAAUAGCAACAAGCUAAACAAUCUGAGUGGCCCAAACAUUGAACGUAUAAAUUGGAAUUGUUGGCCUAAAGUAUAGCAGGAUGUCAUAACAUCAAACAAAUAUAGCAUGAAGAUGAAGUCAAUACAUUACAAUACACAUGAUCCAUUUCAGUUCAUAUAUUUUUUCAGACGACUAUACUUGUGUGUUGUUCAUUUGAGUCCACGUCUCAGAUAGUUUAAAGCGUAUCAUAUCAUGAGCACCACAAUGAUACCAUGUUUUUCAAUUUUUUGAAAAAAUUGUUAACUUAUGGUUCUCGAUAAUGAAUUUUACCUGAAACCAAAUUAGUUUUCAAAAGUGAGAAGGGUAGCAGCUCUAUGGCAAAACGAAUACAGAAUAAGGGGUUGAAACAAGAUAUGCCAUUUAAGAGAACACAAGAAAAGCAUAAUGCUUGCAAAAGAAUAAUGAACAAUAUCAUAGGAAACAAAAAACUCUUGAAUCUUGGGAAAAAAAAUAGUCCAACUGCAAGCAAGCCAUAAGAUCCUUGAAAUUACCCAACCAAAUGAACAACAAUUGGGCAAUCAAUUUAACAUUGCAAUCCACAAAGGCAUAAAAAACAUAACAAGUUAAAAUGGGAACAUACAAAAAUAGCAAGUCAAAGUAUAAUUUAUGAAGUACUGUCAUUCUGUUUUAAACAUUUCACUAGAUCUAAGACUCCUUUCUUAUAGUUAUUAGAUAGGAGAUCUAGGGAAAAACCUAAGCAAUUCAACAACAGCAAACUCUUGCCAUGUUAAAAUUGGGCUGGCUUUUUGGAGAAAACCCAAAUAAGUUAAAAAAGGCUCCAAAAGACUGAGCAUAAUAUUAUGGCUAAAACCAUGAAGUGCUGGUCAACAUGGUACAACAAGCAUGAUAUACAUCAUGCUAAUGCCUUACCAACAUGCAGCAUAGUACCGGCUGCAUGCUACCACUUGACAUACAGUCAUGCCAAUACAUCAAGCAUGACAAGAAUUAGCAAUGACUUGUAGGGGUGAAAAUAGUAUAGAUAUUAUCCAUCCAGAUCCGUUUUCAUAUCCGAAUCAAUCCGGAUAUGGAUAGAAAUUUGAUGAUCCGACUAAUAUCCAUAUCCGUAUUCAUAUCCGUCAAAGAAAAAUCGAUAUGCAUAUGGAUAGACAACUAUCUGAUCCGUAUCUAAAUAUUCGAAUCUAUAUGUAAUUCUAUAUAAUUUUAUAUAGUACUUAUUAAUUUUUAAGAAAAAUAUACAACUAUAUAAACAUGUUAUUAACUUGAUUUAUCAUCUAUUUAAUAAUAUCUUUGAUUCUGUUGUCAUAAAGUUUAAUUAUCUAAGUAAUAUAUGUAAUUAUAUCCAUAUUUUCAGUAUCCGAAUUGUAUCUGUAUCCAUUUAAAACAAAUAUGAAUACAAAUUUUUACAUCCGAAUAAUAUCCGUAUUUAUAUUCGUCAGACAAAACAAAUAUGGAUAUGAAUAUUGUGGCAUCCGAUCCAUAUCCAAUCCAAUUUCAGCCCUAAUGACUUGACAUAGCACAGCAUGACACCAUACAUACAAUCAGAGGCCAGCAUGCCCCUGAAUUGCAACACCUAAAUCCUUCUUAAGAAGCAACAUUUCAUAAGCACCCCAUGAAUCUUCUCAAUGAAGACAUUCAGUUGUUGGCAUGCAAAAAAUGACUAAUUUUUGGUUAAUAGUGAGUGGCAGCUAGGAAGUUCGUCUUGGUACUUUUGUUGGUAGUAGGAUUUUGAGGCAGUGACAUAAAGAUAAACCCAAUCUAGGGCAGACAAACAUCAUCAACAAGCGCCUUAGCUCAUCCAAUCAUGGGCUUAGGAGCUCAAUGCUGCUUCCAUAGUUCAUGUGCUGCCUUCCCUGCAGUCCAAUUUGAUCUGUAAAUCAAAUCAGGAUUCCAUAAGUUGCCUCAUAUCACCCCCUCCCAUUUUUUGGCAUCCCCACUCACCAGAUCUCAUGAGUUGCCUUAGCCCCUCCUGCCUUCUAGAGAAGGCACAUCACCCUUUUCGAAAAGCACCAGGGAGUGGGUUCAUUAGUAUUCAAGGUUCUGUUGCUCAAAAAAUAAUCAGUAGAAAACAGUGAUAUAGGAUCGUGAAUAUUACAAGAAAAUCUUUUGUUCUAAUUAUAAGAAAGAAACAGGAAAAAAAAAGGACACCAAUUAACUAAAUGGAUUAGCAUGCAAGUCUUCAUUAUUAGAUAUCUAUAUAACAAAUGGUAAGGUUGUGUUAUAAAUCACAGACUGCUUUCUUACACUUCCAUAAAAUAAUGAUCCUCCUUUGCUUGAUAUAAUGUUGCCUUUAAGAAUAACUUUUUAAGUUCCUGAACAAUAUCAUAAUUAUUAUUGGAUCACAAAUUAUUCCCGGCAACAUUUAUCUUCUUAAUAAGGAUUUAUUUCAUGUUAAUUUUGUUCAGGUUUGCAUAUUCACUUUCAAGCAUCAAUGCUUCUCUUAGGACUGUCACUGCCUCUAUGGUACAACAUAUGAGUGAUCCAUGAACAAUUAACAGAGAACAAAAUGAACUAAAUGCAAGCCAGCAGAGCCAAUACCGCAUGAUAGUACCAUGCCAAUGCCUUACUGGCAAAAGGGAUUAGCAUGCUAUAAGUUGUAUGCAGGUGUUUAGCACAAAAUGGUGCCAAUGCAUGCCAAGCACUAGCACAACAUUGUACCUACCAUAAAAGAGCUACACCAGUACAAUACCAGCACCCAGUACAUCAAUCCUUUAAGAACAUAGCUAUGCACAUUAGGGGAAAAACUGCUUGAUAAAGGAUGUCUUUGAAAGAGAUGACUAAAAAUUAUCAAAUACCUAAUCCCUCUCCUAGUUGAUUAUGUGCUUUUAGAAGACUUAAUUCUCCAUAUCAUGAAAAAUUUGAAUCUCAUAAUGUGAACAAGAAUGGAGAGAAAUUUUUAAAAAAAAAAAAAUUAUUUGAUGGCAUCAUUUACCAAAAAUUUGGACUCUAAGUAACAAGGUUGAUCUCCGAUUUCUUAUAUGGAAAGUCCAAGUUUCGAAAAGAUGACAUUCAAUCAAAGUUCAUACAUAUAUAAUUAAGAAAUGAAAAUGGAAGAAACUAUUUGAAACAAUCUACUUUUGAAUUAUGUAGUGAUCAGUAAAAUCAUCUUAGCAAAACAAAUUGUUACAUGGAAAUAAGUAAUUCAAGAUCAAAAACCAUGAAAUGAGUUUGGAUCAACUUAGCUGAUUUGAAAUCCCAUAUAUUGUUGGUACUGCCAAUUUAGAAGAAAAAGGAUAAAGCAAAUGUAGAUUUAAAAGGACAAGAAGCAAUUCUCAUAUAACUACACCACCAAAAUAACCAUACAAAAACCAACCAUAAGCUCAACAACUAUCCCAAAAACAAACGGAUUCCUCUCCCAUCUCAUAAGAAGAAAAACGGGUGAUGGAGUUUCUUUUAUUUAUCUUUUUUUUUUAAAAAAAAGCUGCAUCUGAAAAAUUGAUUGACUGAAAAAAAACCAAGCUGCCUCAGUUUUUUACCCCUUAGAGAGGCAGAAGGGUGGAUGGAGCACCAGCUUAUAUUAAUCAGUUCAGAAACUGCUCUUUGUUGAUUAAAGGAACAUAAUAGAUGCAGUAAAAUAUACUUAUGUUUGCUAGAAGACAUUAUUGGUUAGGGCUAGCAAUAGAUCGGUCUUACCUCACUCUUGAGUCCAUGCAGGAAAACCGAAUCAGCAUGUACUUGCAUUGCAGUUUGUCUAAUUACUUUUUGAAAAUUCACAGUCAAAUGAUUGAACAACGGGGAUCAAUUUACUUAUGAUACUAAGUUGACAUUCAAAAAAGUAUCUAAUGACUUAUGAGUUCCCUGUUUAUCAGAAAGAUUGGUAUUAUGUGCUCAUUAUCAACCAAUCACUUAUUCACAAACCCUGUGUGGGGCUAAUAGUUUUCAUUUGCUCUCUCAGGGAAAAACCAAAAGAAAAUGUAAAGAUUGUAUACAUUGAGCUUUCUGUGCAUGCCAAGAUACACAAAAUAAUAGCCAUGAAGAGGAAAGUGACAAAAAAAUCAAAUUCAUCUUUUUACGUAAACAAUUGUUACUUUAAACAAAUAUAUUUCUAUUUUAUUUAUAACAAAUAUCUUGCACAGAUGAGUAGACAAAUCCUGAUUUGUCAAGUACAACCUCUAACACAUGGCAAAAUAUGAUUACUGAAUCCAUGACUGUACCUUACUGCCGUUAACCCUUUGAAAACAAACUCAGGCAUAUGUAAUAUUCCAUAGAUACAAACAUUUGAAUUCAAAGAGUCAAAACAAGAAAUCAGGGGUUCCAGGGCUCAAGCAUUGUGGAAUAUAUUUUUUAUCAAUUAAUAUCAAAAUAUUUGAUUAAAAAGUAAAUGUCCAAACACAGAGAAGCAAUGAACCUCUCUAGUUAUCUCACCUAUAUGAAUAAUAACAUACUCCUAGAAUCCUCAGAUAACCAAUGAUUUAUAGAUCUUUUGUAUUGCAAAUUUCAUGAAGAAUGUAAUAUGCCAACAAGUUGGAACUUAGGAAAACAUGUUAACUACUCUUUUUGUUUUUUCCCCCUGAGUAGCUGCAAGAGUGAAAAAUAAAACUCUGCAAGAGUAAACGUAAAACUAUCUAAAUCAAUUAUUCACAUAUGGAGAAAAAUCUCAAGAACAAGACCUAAAGAGUCUCAUAAAAUGCCUGAGAAAUCAAAAAUGAAAAGCAGGUGUAACAAUGGAUUUGGACACAAGGAUAAAACAAAUCUAACCUAGCUACCAAAAACAAGCAGAAGUUGCAAAUCUCUAACAUGGCGGAAAGAUUUUUACUGAAAUAUGAAACGAUACCGUUUUAUCCCAAUAAAGAAGGGACACAUUAAUAGUAUUUCCCUUUUUUUAAAAAAAAGCCUUCCUGGAGCACAUUAUUUACCCCAAAAAAAAAAAAAAUCUAAUCUAGCAACCAUGAAUCCAGCAUACCCAGCUAGAUCCAACUUCCCCAAGAAAAGAACAGUUAAAGCGACGCUCCAAAAAAGAACCCCUUUUUCUAAAUUGAUGAAACCCUAGAUCUAUAAACAAACAAAACUGACCAGAUCCACUCAAUUCCAAAUAGAUCGAAGAAAAAAUAAGAACAAAAACAGUAAUCGACCCUAAAUUUCCAAACACAACUAUAAGUAUCCAAACGACAGAACCAAAAAAAAAAAAAACAAAAAGAAAACACAAUAAGACAUCCAAAUCCCACAACAUACAUCAGAUUCAGAAAUUUAUGACGGUAGAAAAGGCAGCAACAAGAUUCCAUUUGCGUAAAAAGAACACAAAAGAGGAUACAGACAUCUAAAGAUUCAUAAGACGAUCUAUACUUCACCUGCUUGCGAUAAAGAGAAGGGUCGGCUGCUGGUGGUGAUUACUGGAGAGAGAGAAAUCGAAUCGAGAGGGCCGAUCAACUGCUGAACCCGAGAUCAAGCCUCGGAUUCAACGGCGGCGGGAGGAGUUGUAACUGCUCUUGAAGGGAAUCUUUUAAAGGGGGAGCUGGGAGAGCGGCGUUAGGCGAGUGCGACGCGGCUAGGGUUUCCCGCUCCCACUCACUGUGGGAUUGGGCCGGCCCAGUUGUCCUACUUGGAAUCUCGACCGGACCGGCCUGGUCCAGUUGGACAUAAUUGUUCCCGCUUUUUCUCCUUCCUCAUGAGAAAGGAAUUAUAUCCUGCACUGCAUACACAUGCCACUAAUCAUAGCUUCUAAUUCUUAUAGCGGUGUAUCAAGAAGAGUACUGGAUGAAUAGAAUUAAGGGAACGGGUGACCAUACUUGAAGAUAGAUGAAUAGAAUUAAAGGAACGGGUGACUAUACUUGAAGAUGGAUACGACACAUGCCGUCUAGGAUAUAAAUUUUUUAUGAGAUAUUAUACCAUACAGCACGUGCGAUGCACCAUACCAACCAUCUUACCCUUCUUGUUGGGCUUCAUUCAUUAUAUGCUCAUUGAGAUGAUUAGCUCAUUGGAAGGAAAUGAGUUGAUUGGUGUGGUGCACAACCACAUUAUGCAUGUGGUGUAGGGUAUAGCCCUUGGGGUAAUAUUUGCACAAGAAAGUUAUUUGGCUGGCAGAUGUGUUGCCCUCCUCUCACUAAUGGCUCUGCCAUGAUACCUGCAUUGCUCGUACCAUGAAGCUGCGUUUGAUUUGUGGCGCUUGUGUCACCAUAGCACUCUAAUUUCAUGAGACCCACUUUACUCACAUAAUGCCAAAUCAGCAGCUUUAAUGGUGUAAUGUUUCCAUAUCAGCUGUUAAACUGUUGCCACUAGGUUAUAUAACUAGUCACAUCUAUGGCAUGUGUGUCUGGUGCAUUUAUCCUUUUCUCAAUUAAUUAUAUUUUCUGACCUUAAUAAAAUGAUGUCGACAAGUAUACCAAAUGAUAGCAGGUGUCACCUCCGAGUGUAAUUCUCCUUUCCCUAUUUUGCCUAACCAAAUUUGAGAAGGUGUUUGUUUACUUGCACGUACCUCCAGCAAGUAUUGCUGCAGUGGCCAAAGUCCUGUUAUGUUUGAUUCUUUAAUACAAACAAACUCAGCAAGUGAUUUUAAUAAAACCAUUUCAAAUGCUGCAAAACCUCAAGAUUAAAGCCAGGGUAAGUAAAAGCAUUGAGAUUGUUGAAUUCAAGCAUGGUGAAAUUUCUCUAUUUCCAACUCAGAAUGGCUUACUAGCUGUCAUAUUUUACGGUUCAAAAGUAGCAGUUCUCAGGAUGCAUAUACAAAUGCAAGAAAGAUAAAAAACACUCACCUUUCCAUCCAAUAAUCGCCUCUCAGACCAUUCAGAAAAAGAGGAAUCCAAUCUCUCCUUCAAAGUUUCCCAUCACACAUAGGAAAACCAAGAUAUUUUAUGAGGCAAACCAUCGAGGGCCUUCCCAAAAAACAAUUACAUAUCUAGCUUUAUAAUCUUCCUCGGGAGAGGAGUAUCAGAGCAAUACAGAGCUGAUGGAAGAGUCAGCCACCACAGCCAUAUAUCGCCUAUUUAACAAUAUCCAUAGUUCAAGUAAAUAUAAAUUACCUGCUUAAUCCUUCGUCUCUUGUUUGAAAUUGUUUGAAAUAAAAGAAGUUUAGUUACAUUUUCUGCCCAUACACAAGAUAACAUGGACAUAUUGUACUUUUUUUUUCCUGCUAAAAUGGAUACGAUGCACUUUACCAAUGCAUUUACCGACCAAGCUUUUGUGAGCACAGAAAAACAUACACCUGCAGUAGCUCUGUAGCUUACAGUGUCUUCCAACUAAUCAUCACCCAGGUAAAGAACUGGGUCCAAAACCCAUAGAACAAUUUGAUGGUAAAACAGGCCCCUCGGAUCACCCACACAUCAAAAUGUGAAAGUGAUGCUUUUGAUGUCAUGCUAAUGCGACCGCAUCUUAAUAUACAAUUUAAAGAUUCACCAAAUGAUCUAACGAGCAUUGGACCUAGUUUGUGUAAUAAAUAAAGAAAUAAUGAAACCAAGCUUUUUUUUAAAAAAAAGCAGAAAAAUUACAUUCCUCCCUUUCAGUGCAACCACAAAACUGGCAACAAAAUCAAACAACAAGAAAAACUUGCAAAGAUGAGCUAAAAAUAAGUUUGCUUCACAUCGCUGUCACACCAAAUGGUCCCAACACAUACCACUGGACGGUCGGAUUAAGUUUGAUAAGAAUAGCACUAGAAAAACAUAAAACCCUACAAAUAUAAAUUAAAUACUAUAUUAACACAAACUCAUCAUAGGAGGUCAGCAACAUUAGAUGGGAGCUCCUCAAUCACCACGUUGUAAAACCUCUGAAUAUCGAACAACAUCCUUUCAUCAUCACGAGUGACAAAGUUGAUCGCCACACCCUUCCUUCCGAAACGUCCACUUCGUCCAAUUCGGUGAAGAUAGUUCUCUGGUUGGGUUGGCAGAUCAUAAUUUAUGACCAGCGAGACUUGCUGAACAUCAAUACCACGAGCAAGUAGAUCAGUGGUGAUGAGAACACGGGAGGAACCAGAUCGGAAUUCACGCAUUAUAAUGUCCCUAGUGUUCUGAUCCAUGUCUCCAUGCGUGGCCGAAACUGUGUGAUCCCGGCUCCUCAUCUUGUCAGUGAGCCAGUCAACCUUGCGCCUGGUGUUCACAAAGAUGACACUCUGAGUGAUGGCCAGAGUCUCAUAAAGAUCACAGAGAGUCUCGAGCUUCCACUCUUCUCUCUCAAUGUUGACAUAAAACUGUUUAAUACCCUCAAGGGUGAGCUCAUCUCGCUUCACAAGGAUCCUCACAGGAUUGUUCAUGAACUUGCGAGUUAUCUCAAGGGCCUCAGGAGGCAUUGUAGCAGAGAAGACCCCAACCUGGACUUUAGAGGGAAGAAGUUGGAAGAUGUCGUAGAUCUGCAAUGAUAAAUUGCUUGUAAGAAUAACUUCAUAACAUCAUGAUCUACAUUAAAUGAACAGAGGUAAGCUAUGAAGGAGGAGGAGGGGGGAAUGCCAACUUCCUUCACAAACAUACACUUAUCAAUCUGUGAAUACACAAUAAACAGCAGAGUUAGAGAGUAUUAAAAUUGAACAUGCUCAUAGCAUCUUAGCACAUGUCAAGCAUCUUUCGGUAACAACACAUAUAUACCAUGCUAAGAAUAAAUAUGUCAAGGAACUUCAUAUAUCUUCAUUCCAAGAACACCAAAACUUUAAAUAGGAAUUUGCAUGGAAGGGGUAAAUUCAUGCCUUCUGCUUACGACAGAAUAUGCUUCUUGAACACAAAUCAGAACUCUACUCAAAUGACAUUACUAAUACACCUAUGGGUUUGCAGUAGAUGAAGUCAAAUGCAACAAAUAUUCUUUGCUUUUAAUGCCUGAAGCUACAAUAUUUUAUGGUGUAAGCAUAAAGACGCAAAUUAUAGCACAAUACAUAUCAAAGAGUUCGCUGAAGGAAAAAGAUUAAGAUUGCACUCAUUAGCCCCAAAAUUAAAGAAAUCAUAAAGAAAAGCACAGACUUAGCAAACAUCAAGGAAAGGGCGAAAAGGAAACCUGGUCCUUGAAACCACGUGAAAGCAUUUCAUCUGCCUCAUCCAGUACAAACAUCCUAAUGUAGUCAGGACGGAGUGAUUGCCUUUGUAACAUGUCGAACACACGACCUGGGGUACCAACAACAACAUGAACCCCACUUGAAAGAAUCCGUUGAUCCUCACGAACACUGGUUCCUCCAAAACAAGCAUGAACUUUCACACCCAGGUAGUCACCAAGUGCUCGCAUGACCUUCUCAAUUUGCUGUGCUAGUUCUCGAGUUGGGGCAAAAACUAAAGCCUGGCAUUCAACCAACCCAUAAUCAAGC
rnacentral:lncRNA from 1 species